CUUCGGUUUCUUUCUUCCUAUCAUAUGUCGUCUUUAUGACUUCUCUCAUGCGGAUUGUAGAUGGACUAGGUCCGAAAUUUCCUUCAUUUGUUAUUUUCGUUUCUCAAUUUGGUCACCACUCACUCGAUGCUUUGUCGGUGACGAUUGUUGAAGGAAUGAUUGGGGGUCAGCUAGGUCGACGACUUUGGAAGUGUCGGAUGAUUCUUUCAGAGCAUAAGAAGGAUUUCAAAGCUAGAAGGUGCAUUUCAUACGAUAAACUUGAUUACAACCCUAAUUUCGCCUCUUCCUUAUUCAAUUCUCAUAUACGAGCAAUGAAAAUCAUCGUUGGGUUAAGCAGAAGAUAAAGGAUCGAGCGAAGUUACUUUCAGUCGGCAAGAGCAGAUGUCGGACUUAUAUUGAAUCUAUAGUUUGAAUUGGUUGGCAGUUGAAACCGAAGAGGGUUUCACCACCACCGCCCACCACCCUAUACGAUGCAACACCCUGCAACAGUAAUAAAUUAAAAACCUUGAUUACACUAUACUUAAAGGAUCAAACAAAACUCAGAGGUACAUAGAAGGAAAAUAGACAACACGUAAGUCUCUCUCGCACUACCGCCAUCAAAAUCUCUUGCUCUCUCCAUCAUCUCCGACAAUAUAUAUAUAUAUAUAUAUAUAUAUAUAUAUAUAUAUAUAUAUAUAUAUAUAUAUAUAUAUAUAUAUAUAUAUAUAUAUAUAUGUAUCCCCUAGGAAGGAUUAAAUGUUAGAUAAACAGAAGCUUUGGCAUGAAGAAGACAACCAUGAAGCUUUGGCAGAAGCUUUGUUGAAAUGGGUCACCAGAAAUGACAGUUGGUUUGGUAGAAAUCACAUGUUAUUGCUAAUUUCAGAUUGUGCAGUGUUUCUGGCUAUUUGAUUUCACUUAUUCUCUUCAUUCUAUAUUCAUAUAUACAUUUGUUAUCUGUGAUGAGGUUUUUGAUUAGUUUUGAAUAUCAUUAUGAUUUGGGCAGUGCAGUAGGAAGACUAAAUUGGUGGAGAUUCAUGCGACACAUCCUAGAUUUCAUGUUAUAUUUAACUUCCUUUAUAACAGGUAAGAGUGGUCGCUCCUUUUUGAUGAUUUUCGAUUACCAAAAGUUAUAAUAGCUUAUACCAUUUUAGGUUCAUUUUUUAAAAUAAGUUUUAGAGAUCAAGUUUGAAAUUUAUGACUGGUUGUGUGUUUUGUGUUUAUGAGCAGAAAUGGAGUAGUUCAUUCCAUAUUAACAAACAAAAGGUUUUCUACAUUCCACAUUUGUAAUCCAUAAUGAUCCAAUACAAUACAAAAUUUGAUAACUUUCACUAACUUAAUGGAUCGAUAAAGAUUUUUCAAUAUAAUGACAGGUAAAUGUUUCGAAGUAGCACGUUGUAGUCGGACACAAUUUAACAGUAAGAUGAUAUAGGAAAAAUGUACAUGAAAGUAUAUUGCUAUUUUCUGGACAACUUAUCACUUGAAAGUUUCUACAGGUCUUAACAAAGUUAUCCUGCAUAGAAGGAUGGAAGUGGCAUUCUUUACGAGAUUGUUAUUGUUUCAGUUCUUUGAGCAUGGAAUGCAUGGACAAAGGAGAGAAUUGACUGGAAAGCUAUCGGGACAUAUUUUGACACUUACUCCUCAAAUGUAUGGCUGUCAAGUUAUUUAAAAGGUAAAGUUUGGUAUGUGGGAAUCACAUAAGGGAUGGAAUAGGACAUUCCGUUUCCAUUACAGAAUUUUGGUUAUUUUUUGUUUAGUAGUUGCUUCUUAAUUUCCGUGACUCCUUCAAGCACUUAAGAUAUUACCCCAAGGACCUGGUGUCCCCCUAUUCUUCACAUGAUUUUUUCCCUUAAUUGUAGUAUGUUUGUAUAGUAAUAUGCCAGCUAUCUGUAGUUUUAUUUUAUUUAUAAUAAUUGAUAUUAUCUUUAUUUGUAA